rnacentral:rRNA from 1 species
UCCGUAGGUGAACCUGCGGAAGGAUCAUUACACGAUAGCGCAGGCCCUAAGCGUAGAAUCAACUAUGCGGACGGGUCAUGUCUAUUACCCUUGUUUAUUGAGCACCUAGUUUCCUUGGUAGGCUUGCCUGCCAAAAGGACACCCUUUUAAACCUUUUUUAUUUUCAAUCAGCGUCUGAAUAAAAAUAAUAAUUACAACUUUCAACAACGGAUCUCUUGGUUCUGGCAUCGAUGAAGAACGCAGCGAAAUGCGAUAAGUAGUGUGAAUUGCAGAAUUCAGUGAAUCAUCGAAUCUUUGAACGCACAUUGCGCCCCUUGGUAUUCCAUGGGGCAUGCCUGUUCGAGCGUCAUUUGUACCUUCAAGCUAUGCUUGGUGUUGGGUGUUUGUCCUCUCCCUGCGUUUGGACUCGCCUUAAAGCGAUUGGCAGCCUAUAUUUGGUUUUGAGCGCAGCACAUUUUGCGUCUUACUACUUAUUCUAUAGGCACCCAUCAAGCCUUUUAUCACGUUUGACCUCGGAUCAGGUAGGGAUACCCGCUGAACUUAAGCAUAUCAAUAAGCGGAGGGAAGUCGGACUGGCCAAGGGGCACACCAGGGGGGGGGGAUAGGGG